AUCGGGAAUAACACACCGGAGACUUUUGGGGGGAAACUGGGUCGACGGCCGGCGGCGCCCGGAUGGGCAACUGAGAUUGCCUUUGAGGUUACUUUGAAAGUUUUCAGUUGUAAACGCUUGAUUCUUUUAUUCAUUGUGGGAAGACCUCUCUAGCAAUGAUUACUUCAGAGUUACCAGUGUUACAGUAAGUAUUGUAGUUUCAUUAUUUUUAAAAAAUGUACAAUACGUUUAUGAAAAUACUGACUUUGAGACAGGU
rnacentral:lncRNA from 1 species